CACCUCAUCAUUAGUUCCCCACGCCCGCCGCCUGGGGUCCGUGGUCGAUCCCGCGCCGUCGCACCGCCGCCAUACACCGCCCGGGGCUAUCGCCAGUUGAUCCCACCCCGCCCUGCCUCUGCAGCGCUGCCCCACGCCGCCGUCCUUCUGUCGCGCCGCUCCAGCGCCGCCCAAUGCUGUCCGGCCUCUCCACCGCCGGCACCACGCCCUCGUGCUACAUCCAGCAAAGCUGCCGCCCCCUCCCUAGCCCGACCUCCCCCAUCUCCACCACGAAGGGACAAACAGCGGCAGCGGCGAGUUGGAUCGGGGCAGCGUGCUGCUGGGCAACGGCUGAGGAAACCUGAUUGAUGCGUACCUGGUGUUGGUAAUAUGCGUGCGUGUGUAGCGCUGUUAUUCCCCGGCCUGAGAGAUGUGUGUGUGGUGUUGAUGGAUGCAAGAUGCUUAGGUGUUGAUUAAUGCGUGUUUGUGCUGGAUCGAUGCAAGAGCUGCAAACUGAUGUCCCCUCUCUGACGCAUGUAAAUCAUCUAUGCGUGCUAAAUUUGUACUGACAUGUCCCCUAUCUGUUGCAUAAUUUUCAUGACAACCAGCACAUAGGAGCAGCUCUUGGUGAUUUUAGCAAAAGUUCACGCCCAAGGGGUUCACUGUGUGGCCAUGAGAGGUAGCAAACAAACAACCUAUAUCUCCCCCUAGAUAAGAAAUAAAGGCCGGUAAUUUUUCUCCUAAAUAUGUUUUAGUUGUGAAGUAGUUUUUUGAACAUAAUCACAUUGUUUUGCUGCUUUGAUGAUUGUUUUUCCUACACUUUAACAAAUAUGUAUUAUUUAUUGUGGCGAAUUUGGAGUUGAUGCAUAGGGCAGAAGGUUUCAUUGAGUCGUCUUAUUCUCUUAGCUGUUUCCUCCACAAUUUAUUUCUCUUAUUUUUCGGAAAGCAUAAAUUUCUUGUUCAAGGUAAGCACAAUGUUAUUGUACAUAUACUUAUUGGAUGUAUAUGAAUACAAGUAAUUAGUUGUUUUAAAUGGAAGGUUUCAUUGCAUCGAGCAAACAAACUUUAAAUGUUUAUGGCACUUACUAUAGUUGACUUCUCAUUUUUUGCACCGGAUUUUCUAGCAGUAUAUAAUCUAUGACAGGACUUGCCGCUUAAGCAAUGUGAUUAUGGGAAAUUGGGGACAGAAGCAACAAGUGUGUGAACUCAAACUUCUGUGUGAGCUCAUACUGGUUGCCUGGCAAAAAGCCCAGGAAGAUAGCCCGGCAAAUGUUCGUGCUUCAGAAUUUUCGGAAGUUCUUCUACUUCUAUCACAUCAGCAGAGCUUGAUCCUCAUGCCUUGCACACGUGUUCUUUUAAUAAUGUUGCUGUUGGAUUCUGUAGGAAAGACAAAGAGGACCAAGAAGUAGAUAUCUUCUGUAAUGGAGCAAAAACAAUGAUCUUGUAGCUAUCAGUUUGCGUCAACUAGAUAUCUUCUGUAACGGAGCAAAAACAAUGAUCUUGUAGCUAUCAUUUUGUAAUGGAUAUCUUGUGUAACGGACCAUACAUUGAAUCGUCAAACAUGCACCUAUCAUUUUAUAAACC